rnacentral:lncRNA from 1 species
UGGAAUUUGGAGGACCACUGCAGACGUCCCAAUAUCAGAAUAAUAGAAAUUACAGUAGGAAAAUAAAGUGGGAAAUUACCUAUAUAACUUAAUUUUGACAGCUGCAGGGAAUGAUCUGUCAUUAAAGGGUGUGCCUGUGCCCAGACUUAGGUUAGUAAAAUAGAGCCAUGUCAGUCAUGCCAUCUCAAAGUUCUGGAAAGAGGGUCCCUUGUGACCCACACCAGCAGUAGAAAACAGGAAGACAGCUGAACAGAGCUUCAGAGUCCUGAGGGGAUCUAGGGCAAUGGUAAGUGAGGAAGUAUGAGCUGGGCAUGUGGGAGGAGCUGAAUUUGCUUCCCUAGCACACAGUCCAUGCUGGGUGAGCGUGGGGGCUCACUGUGGAGCAGAGACAGAUGGGCGAGGGCACUUAGCUGGACUUGUCAGAGUACUGAAGUCUGGAGUCACCUGAGAGACCCUGGCUCAGUGGAUAAGGUGGUCAGUGAUUGAGAAAGAUACCUGAAUUCAACCUCAGGCCUCUACACACACACACACACACACACACCCCACCCCCACAUGCUGCAUGUGUGUGGGUCAGAAGGCACUUCCAGGGUUCUGGGGAAUAACCUCAGGUUGUUAGGCUUGGAAGCAGGCAUAUUUACUCACUGAAUCAUCUAGCUGCCCCUCCCUCGGUUUUAAAUAAGAGCUUUAGUGUGAUAGUAGUCACAUGCUGCCUCAUUCUCCCAUUUUAGAUACCUAGUUCAGUGGGCAUGCUAGUCUAUUCAUAGAGUUGAGCAGUUGUACGUCACUUACAGAACGUGUUCCUAGUAAGAAAUGCUACAUCUCCUUCAGCUCUUCCUCUCUUCUACAGCCCCCCUCCUCCUCCUCCUCCUUCCUUCCUUCUCCUUUCAGUCCCUGGCAACCACUCAGUCUGUCUACCUUUCAAACUGAGUUUGAGAAGGAAUUAGCUCUCCAUGCUCACCCUUUAUGCCUCCUCACCUGGUAACUUCUGCUUAGGGAAUUUAACCAGGGACCCUCUAAUUGCUGGUCUGCUGCUCAUGUACAGUGCUUACCUUUCUGUUGUAUUUGGCCUGCCUUUCUCCUUUAUGCUCUGUUUUCUUCUGUCCUCUUGCUUGCUUCCCUUUUCCUGAGUGAUAAGGUGUGCUAUUAAUGUUCCAGCCAUGUCCUGCUAAUGUCUCUCUCCACAGCACACAGUCAGUAUCACUCACUGUUCCUAGAUAUGACGUGGGAAUCCCACAGCCAUUUCUUCAUGGGUGAGAUGAAACUCACCUUGUUCCUCAUCGAGGAGGAAGAGGAAGAAGAUGAUAAAAAGGCAUUCGAACUUGCUAGAAAGCCCUACUUCUUUUAAGUAAACUAAACCUUCCAAGUUGUCUUCAGCCUAACUAAAAUAGUUCCUUCCCCACUCAUAAGGCCUUCUCAUCUUUCAGACAUUAGUUACACUACUUCAGGAUCUGAGAAUGUGUCUCUGUUGGUUGAGUCACCCUCAGCUAAAAGAACUUCAAGGCCAGCCUGGGCUACAUGAGCUAGUUUAAAAGAGAAAGGGGAGAGACUGCUGGACAGAGUGGCCUUUCCAUACUACUUUUGUAGUUUCCUCUUAAUCUAAAAUGAAUUCACAGUAAACACUUAAGGACAAUGGAGGCAGGCAGUACCAGUGUACUUGAUAAACCUGUUCUCUUCCUAAAAGAAAACAAUGUGGGCUGGAGAGAUGGCUCAGUAGUUAAGAGCACUGACUGCUCUUGCAGAGGUCCUGAGUUCAAUUCCCAGCAACCACAUGGUGGCUCACAACCAUCUGUAAUGGGAUUGGAUGCCUUCUGGUGUGUCUGAAGAUAGCUACAGCGUACUCACAUACAUGAAACAAAUAAAUCUUUUUU